ACACAUGCAAGUCGAGCGGAUGAAGAGAGCUUGCUCUCUGAUUCAGCGGCGGACGGGUGAGUAAUGCCUAGGAAUCUGCCUGGUAGUGGGGGACAACGUUUCGAAAGGAACGCUAAUACCGCAUACGUCCUACGGGAGAAAGCAGGGGACCUUCGGGCCUUGCGCUAUCAGAUGAGCCUAGGUCGGAUUAGCUAGUUGGUGAGGUAAUGGCUCACCAAGGCGACGAUCCGUAACUGGUCUGAGAGGAUGAUCAGUCACACUGGAACUGAGACACGGUCCAGACUCCUACGGGAGGCAGCAGUGGGGAAUAUUGGACAAUGGGCGAAAGCCUGAUCCAGCCAUGCCGCGUGUGUGAAGAAGGUCUUCGGAUUGUAAAGCACUUUAAGUUGGGAGGAAGGGCAGUAAGUUAAUACCUUGCUGUUUUGACGUUACCGACAGAAUAAGCACCGGCUAACUUCGUGCCAGCAGCCGCGGUAAUACGAAGGGUGCAAGCGUUAAUCGGAAUUACUGGGCGUAAAGCGCGCGUAGGUGGUUUGUUAAGUUGGAUGUGAAAGCCCCGGGCUCAACCUGGGAACUGCAUCCAAAACUGGCAAGCUAGAGUAUGGCAGAGGGUGGUGGAAUUUCCUGUGUAGCGGUGAAAUGCGUAGAUAUAGGAAGGAACACCAGUGGCGAAAGCGACCACCUGGGCUAAUACUGACACUGAGUGCGAAAGCGUGGGGAGCAAACAGGAUUAGAUACCCUGGUAGUCCACGCCGUAAACGAUGUCGACUAGCCGUUGGGAUCCCUUGAGAUCUUAGUGG
rnacentral:rRNA from 1 species